rnacentral:tRNA from 1 species
GCAGACGUAGUUCAUCGGUAGAAUGCAAGCUUCCCAAGCUUGACAGGCGGGUUCGACUCCCGUCGUCUGCU